AUUGAACGCUGGCGGCAGGCUUAACACAUGCAAGUCGAGCGGUAGCACAGGGGAGCUUGCUCCCUGGGUGACGAGCGGCGGACGGGUGAGUAAUGUCUGGGAAACUGCCUGAUGGAGGGGGAUAACUACUGGAAACGGUAGCUAAUACCGCAUAACGUCGCAAGACCAAAGAGGGGGACCUUCGGGCCUCUUGCCAUCAGAUGUGCCCAGAUGGGAUUAGCUAGUAGGUGGGGUAAUGGCUCACCUAGGCGACGAUCCCUAGCUGGUCUGAGAGGAUGAUCAGCCACACUGGAACUGAGACACGGUCCAGACUCCUACGGGAGGCAGCAGUGGGGAAUAUUGCACAAUGGGCGCAAGCCUGAUGCAGCCAUGCCGCGUGUGUGAAGAAGGCCUUCGGGUUGUAAAGCACUUUCAGCGAGGAGGAAGGUGGUGAGCUUAAUACGUUCAUCAAUUGACGUUACUCGCAGAAGAAGCACCGGCUAACUCCGUG
rnacentral:rRNA from 1 species